AGGACAGAUUUUAAAUAAAUAAACGCACGCUAAAAAAAAAAAAAAAAAAAAUAUUCUAGUAUGAGAAAUUAAUGAUUUAAGUCCUUCUUAAAUGAGGCCAUUUACCCAUAGAGGGUGCCAGGCCCGUAUAACGUUAAUGAUUACUAGAUGAUGUUUCCAAAGAGUCGUGUUGCUUGAUAGUGCAGCACUAAGUGGGUGGUAAACUCCAUCUAAAACUAAAUAUAACCAUGAGACCGAUAGUAAACAAGUACCGUGAGGGAAAGUUGAAAAGAACUCUGAAUAGAGAGUUAAACAGUACGUGAAACUGCUUAGAGGUUAAGCCCGAUGAACCUGAAUAUCCGUUAUGGAAAAUUCAUCAUUAAAAUUGUAAUAUUUAAAUAAUAUUAUUAAGAAUAAUGUGCAUUUUUUCCAUAUAAGGACAUUGUAAUCUAUUAGCAUAUCCCAAAUUUAUCAUAAAAUAUAACUUAUAGUUUAUUCCAAUUAAAUUGCUUGCAUUUUAACACAGAAUAAAUGUUAUUAAUUUGAUAAAGUGCUGAUAGAUUUAUAUUAUUACAGAGCGUUAAUUUUUCGGAAUUAUAUAAUGGCAUAAUUAUCAUUGAUUUUUGUGUUUAUUAUAUGCUCUUGUAUGAUUAACAAUGCGAAAGAUUCAGGAUACCUUCGGGACCCGUCUUGAAACACGGACCAAGGAGUCUAACAUAUGUGCAAGUUAUUGGGAUGUAAACCUAAUAGCGUAAUUAACUUGACUAAUAAUGGGAUUAGUUUUUUAGCUAUUUAUAGCUAAUUAACACAAUCCCGGGGCGUUCUAUAUAGUUAUGUAUAAUGUAUAUUUAUAUUAUUUAUGCCUCUAACUGGAACGUACCUUGAGCAUAUAUGCUGUGACCCGAAAGAUGGUGAACUAUACUUGAUCAGGUUGAAGUCAGGGGAAACCCUGAUGGAAGACCGAAACAGUUCUGACGUGCAAAUCGAUUGUCAGAAUUGAGUAUAGGGGCGAAAGACCAAUCGAACCAUCUAGUAGCUGGUUCCUUCCGAAGUUUCCCUCAGGAUAGCUGGUGCAUUUUAAUAUUAUAUAAAAUAAUCUUAUCUGGUAAAGCGAAUGAUUAGAGGCCUUAGGGUCGAAACGAUCUUAACCUAUUCUCAAACUUUAAAUGGGUAAGAACCUUAACUUUCUUGAUAUGAAGUUCAAGGUUAUGAUAUAAUGUGCCCAGUGGGCCACUUUUGGUAAGCAGAACUGGCGCUGUGGGAUGAACCAAACGUAAUGUUACGGUGCCCAAAUUAACAACUCAUGCAGAUACCAUGAAAGGCGUUGGUUGCUUAAAACAGCAGGACGGUGAUCAUGGAAGUCGAAAUCCGCUAAGGAGUGUGUAACAACUCACCUGCCGAAGCAACUAGCCCUUAAAAUGGAUGGCGCUUAAGUUGUAUACCUAUACAUUACCGCUAAAGUAGAUGAUUUAUAUUACUUGUGAUAUAAAUUUUGAAACUUUAGUGAGUAGGAAGGUACAAUGGUAUGCGUAGAAGUGUUUGGCGUAAGCCUGCAUGGAGCUGCCAUUGGUACAGAUCUUGGUGGUAGUAGCAAAUAAUCGAAUGAGACCUUGGAGGACUGAAGUGGAGAAGGGUUUCGUGUGAACAGUGGUUGAUCACGAGUUAGUCGGUCCUAAGUUCAAGGCGAAAGCCGAAAAUUUUCAAGUAAAACAAAAAUGCCUAACUAUAUAAACAAAGCGAAUAUAAUACACUUGAAUAAUUUUGAACGAAAGGGAAUACGGUUCCAAUUCCGUAACCUGUUGAGUAUCCGUUUGUUAUUAAAUAUGGGCCUCGUGCUCAUCCUGGCAACAGGAACGACCAUAAAGAAGCCGUCGAGAGAUAUCGGAAGAGUUUUCUUUUCUGUUUUAUAGCCGUACUACCAUGGAAGUCUUUCGCAGAGAGAUAUGGUAGAUGGGCUAGAAGAGCAUGACAUAUACUGUUGUGUCGAUAUUUUCUCCUCGGACCUUGAAAAUUUAUGGUGGGGACACGCAAACUUCUCAACAGGCCGUACCAAUAUCCGCAGCUGGUCUCCAAGGUGAAGAGUCUCUAGUCGAUAGAAUAAUGUAGGUAAGGGAAGUCGGCAAAUUAGAUCCGUAACUUCGGGAUAAGGAUUGGCUCUGAAGAUUGAGAUAGUCGGGCUUGAUUGGGAAACAAUAACAUGGUUUAUGUGCUCGUUCUGGGUAAAUAGAGUUUCUAGCAUUUAUGUUAGUUACUUGUUCCCCGGAUAGUUUAGUUACGUAGCCAAUUGUGGAACUUUCUUGCUAAAAUUUUUAAGAAUACUAUUUGGGUUAAACCAAUUAGUUCUUAUCAAUUAUAACGAUUAUCAAUUAACAAUCAAUUCAGAACUGGCACGGACUUGGGGAAUCCGACUGUCUAAUUAAAACAAAGCAUUGUGAUGGCCCUAGCGGGUGUUGACACAAUGUGAUUUCUGCCCAGUGCUCUGAAUGUCAAAGUGAAGAAAUUCAAGUAAGCGCGGGUCAACGGCGGGAGUAACUAUGACUCUCUUAAGGUAGCCAAAUGCCUCGUCAUCUAAUUAGUGACGCGCAUGAAUGGAUUAACGAGAUUCCUACUGUCCCUAUCUACUAUCUAGCGAAACCACAGCCAAGGGAACGGGCUUGGAAUAAUUAGCGGGGAAAGAAGACCCUUUUGAGCUUGACUCUAAUCUGGCAGUGUAAGGAGACAUAAGAGGUGUAGAAUAAGUGGGAGAUAUUAGACCUCGGUUUGGUAUCGUCAAUGAAAUACCACUACUCUUAUUGUUUCCUUACUUACUUGAUUAAAUGGAACGUGUAUCAUUUCCUAGCCAUUAUACGGAUAUAUUUAUUAUAUCUUAUGGUAUUGGGUUUUGAUGCAAGCUUCUUGAUCAAAGUAUCACGAGUUUGUUAUAUAAUCGCAAACAAAUUCUUUAAUAAAACGAUGCAUUUAUGUAUUUUUGAUUUGAAAAUUUGGUAUAACUCCAAUUACUCAGGUAUGAUCCAAUUCAAGGACAUUGCCAGGUAGGGAGUUUGACUGGGGCGGUACAUCUCUCAAAUAAUAACGGAGGUGUCCCAAGGCCAGCUCAGUGCGGACAGAAACCACACAUAGAGCAAAAGGGCAAAUGCUGACUUGAUCUCGGUGUUCAGUACACACAGGGACAGCAAAAGCUCGGCCUAUCGAUCCUUUUGGUUUAAAGAGUUUUUAACAAGAGGUGUCAGAAAAGUUACCAUAGGGAUAACUGGCUUGUGGCGGCCAAGCGUUCAUAGCGACGUCGCUUUUUGAUCCUUCGAUGUCGGCUCUUCCUAUCAUUGUGAAGCAAAAUUCACCAAGCGUUGGAUUGUUCACCCAUGCAAGGGAACGUGAGCUGGGUUUAGACCGUCGUGAGACAGGUUAGUUUUACCCUACUAAUGACAAAACGUUGUUGCGACAGCAUUCCUGCGUAGUACGAGAGGAACCGCAGGUACGGACCAAUGGCACAAUACUUGUUCGAGCGAACAGUGGUAUGACGCUACGUCCGUUGGAUUAUGCCUGAACGCCUCUAAGGUCGUAUCCGUGCUGGACUGCAAUGAUAAAUAAGGGGCAAUUUGCAUUGUAUGGCUUCUAAACCAUUUAAAGUUUAUAAUUUAUUUUAUAAACGACAAUGGAUGUGAUGCCAAUGUAAUUUGUAACAUAGUAAAUUAGGAGGAUCUUCGAUCACCUGAUGCCGCGCUAGUUACAUAUAAAAGCAUUAUUUAAUACAAUGACAAAGCCUAGAAUCAAUUGUAAACGACUUUUGUAACAGGCAAGGUGUUGUAAGUGGUUGAGCAGCUGCCAUACUGCGAUCCACUGAAGCUUAUCCUUUGCUUGAUGAUUCGA